GGCAUAAUACAUGCAAGUUGAACGAGAUUAGUUUUAGCAAUAGAACUAGUUUAGUGGCGCACGGGUGCGUAACGCGUAUGCAACCUACCUUAAACAGGGGAAUAGCCUCUCGAAAGAGAGAUUAAUACCGCAUAACAUAUAUUUAGAGCAUUCUAGAUAUAUCAAACCUACGGGGGUUUAAGAUGGGCAUGCGUGACAUUAGCUAGUUGGUGAGGUAACGGCUCACCAAGGCAACGAUGUCUAGGGGGUCUGAGAGGAUGUCCCCCCACACUGGUACUGAGACACGGACCAGACUCCUACGGGAGGCAGCAGUAGGGAAUAUUGGUCAAUGGAGGCAACUCUGGACCAGCCAUGCCGCGUGCAGGACUAAGGCCCUAUGGGUCGUAAACUGC
rnacentral:rRNA from 1 species